AACCCUCACCCCAGGACCCCUCCCCUUCCAGGCCUGGAAGAGGGAAGAGGUGGGGAGGGGCAGGGUCAGGAAAUGGGCAUUUCAUUGCUGGUCUCCAUGCCCACCCGGGAUGAUGUCCUGGGAGGAUGGAUUCAUGGUUCCAGGAGCACUGAUGAGUCAGGCCUGGACAGGACUCUGGGUAGGUGAAGGCCUGAGAACAAAUGGGCCCAGCCCUCCUCUAGCCUGGGCACUGGAGGACAAGGGGGCGUUCCAGGCUGGAGAUGCUGUGGAAGGCAGAGGCCGGUGUCAGGCUAGAAACACCUGUGGUUUUUCAAGCCAGAUAGCCCCAGCUGUAUGAGCACGCUGCUCCUCAUCGACAGGAAGGGGCUCCCAGGAAGAACCUCCUGAGAAGCGACUGUGGACCCAUCUCUGUGUCCUGGAUCCCCAGUGUCUGUCUGGUAUCUGUGAGGUGAAGCUUGGGCCUGAAACCUGCAUUCCAGGGGUGGAGGGCAUAGGGGGGUCACCAACUCUUGAGAAGGACAUUGUCUUCUCAAGGUUGGUCCAAGCCUCCCUCUUCCCUGUCCUGUGGUAGGAGGGCUAUAGUAGGGGGUCUCAGGCGCAUGCUCUUUCCUGCCUUGAGAGCCCUGGUCAGCCCUGACCCACCCACCGCCCACCCAAGGCUUGGGCAUCAUCAAUCUGGUCUCCAUUAGCAACAUGGGAAAGCAAUUAUGUGGGGCCUGGGGAGGAGAAGGAAGGGAGGGGGCUUGCAGGAACCUCAGAGGCCGAUGGAGAGGAGGAUCAAGGCGUCUCCCUGACUCCAUUCCCAACGGAGAGCCCCAGCCCCAUCCCAAGCCCUUAGGGGGCUUCAGGGACAGUGUCCCCACAUCUGACCAGACUGGACCCAGGCCCAGUGGUGGUCAUCCCUCUUUGGGAGUCCUGAUCCCCCAUCUUGCAGAGGCUGCUCGCCUGGGGAGGGUCUUGGCUGCUGUCUGUGGCUGCCUCCUUAGGCUGGCUCUUCCGCAUCCGUUAUAUCUCGUCGUGGUUCUGGGGAGCUGAGGACAGCCUUGGCAUCAGUUUUUGGAGCUCAGUCAGAACCUGGAGAAUUAAAACCCUG
ensembl:lncRNA